rnacentral:rRNA from 1 species
GACGAACGCUGGCGGCGUGCCUAAUACAUGCAAGUCGAGCGAGCGGAACCAACAGAUUUACUUCGGUAAUGACGUUGGGAAAGCGAGCGGCGGAUGGGUGAGUAACACGUGGGGAACCUGCCCCUAAGUCUGGGAUACCAUUUGGAAACAGGUGCUAAUACCGGAUAAUAAAGCAGAUCGCAUGAUCAGCUUUUGAAAGGCGGCGUAAGCUGUCGCUAAGGGAUGGCCCCGCGGUGCAUUAGCUAGUUGGUAAGGUAACGGCUUACCAAGGCGACGAUCAGUAGCCGUACUGAGAGGUAGAACGGCCACAUUGGGACUGAGACACGGCCCAGACUCCUACGGGAGGCAGCAGUGGGGAAUAUUGCACAAUGGAGGAAACUCUGAUGCAGCGAUGCCGCGUGAGGGAAGAAGGUUUUCGGAUUGUAAAACCUCUGUCUUCAGGGACGAAAAUGACGGUACCUGAGGAGGAAGCUCCGGCUAACUACGUG